AGCGAGUUCAAGCGUAGAAAUAUGCCAAAUCAGGUUAUUUUACAAUUCAGAAACUUUAUUACCAUUACAACGACAAAAAAUUCCAAGAACCUAGAGGAACCAUCUAAGUUAUGCGUCAAAUUCAUGGUGGAGAUAUGAUACCGCAACAUUAUGACCAAAACAUUGACUUUGCUUAAACUGCUAUGAAAGCAACAAGGAAAGCGAAAAAGUCUAAUGCUUCCCUAACCAGGAGAGAGCAAAAGCAGAACGUGAACAUGGGAAACCUGCAUGUGCUGCCACCUAGUCGCAACACUUAAUGGCCUACAUGCUGAAAAAGCAGCCAUGCACUCCAGAAAAGACCUUUGCUUGCAUCAACCACUUAACAUCAUGGGUCCACUUGUAAAGACACAGAUUAAAAAUGAAAUUUAUGAGAUGCACCACACUGUGACCACUACACAAGACUGGCUACACUGGUGCAAGCUCACAUCAGAGCCUUGACUCAAAAACUCAAGCAGAUGGACAAUCGGCAAAGUGAAAGGAUACUCUCACCUAUCUUGAUGCCAACAAUGAGACAAGGAAAGGAGUGUUGACCAGCAAGACAAAAGGAAUAGGGGAGGUGGAGGGUGGGAUGUUGCAAAACAAAACGAGCCACUGAACGGAGAGCACAGGAACAGACGUCUCGCACGCUACGAAGGACCAGUGCGGCCUACCUCUUGGCUCGUGUCGACAGGACUGCGUACAAUGCGACGGCAGGAGAGAGCAGCCCACCACCACGUGAGGGCAUGCACACAGAGAGAUAAACAGUGCUACCAAGGGGCAGCAACUCACACCGAGAAUGUAGAGGUGAAGGGAAGAAGAAAGGGGGCUAAGUAAAAAAAAAAAAAAAGACAGUAAGUGCAGCUGAGAAUGAGGGAAGUAUGGAAACAACAAUAGCUGAGAAGUGAGGCUGGCUGCAAAAAUAAGAGAUUAAGAAAAAGGAAAGAACAGAAGGAAGCACAGCAAAAAGAGUAGCACUGACUGAAGGGAGGGAAGAGAAGGGCCAUUAAAGAAAAAAAAAAUUUAGUUGGGAAAGGAGAAUCCAGGAAAGAGAGAAAAUAAAAGCAAAAGAAAAACAAGCAACAUAAUAUAAGAGGGAGAGAGAAAGGCAACAAGACAGUAGCUUCCAGCAGUGCAGAAAGAAGAAAUAAGUGGUGGGGGGUGGGGAGAAGGCAGCCUACGUCGCGCAAGAGCGCACACACAAUUGCAGGGGGGAGAAGGGUGCGGCGUGCGGCAGCCUCUUGGGCUGCAAGGUGAUCGAGAAGCGUGUCGAAACGCAAGAGUGAUCCCACCUCCUCCCUGCACAGCACACACACAUUAAAUCCAACCGACAGUGCAGUCAACAGGCAUUCAAAAACAACCAACAUGCACCAUUCUGGACAACAAAGCCAACCACUUUGUUCACCGAAGCAGCAGCCAAUGAGGAGACAUCCAUGGCUGUAAUCUUUCCACCAUCAUGAACUUUGACCUUGAAGGGGCUUCCUACAGAACACAGGCACAAAGGAGACGGCAAACUUUGCCCCACCCAUGGGGUGAACCACCGUUGGGACAUCGCGGUUGCGGGAGGUCACCGAGAUGGCA